CUGGAGUGCACACUAAAACAUUUGCCAUUGAAUCUUUCCAUGACUCACUUAAAAAUUUUGGAGCACCCUAUGUGUCAGAUGGUGGGGUACAAAGAGCAGGACAUGCUCCCUAUCGGUCCUAAGACCUAGCAUGUUCCCAGCAUGGAGAAGGCACUCAAUGAGUGUUUGUAGAGUUGGACUGAAAUCAGCCCUGACAGAAAUAACCAUGUUUCCUGGCCAGGUGGCUCCAGUGUAUAUGAGUGGACACCCAGAUGAAGCCGGAUGGUAAUGGCUGGUCCAGGUCCAAAGGCUGCCGAGAACCAUACCCUGGACUAGCUGAGGCUGUGCCAUCUGGGAUUUCUGCCGAGGCAGCAGACAGACCGGGAAAAGGACCUGCCACAGAUAAGGAUUUGAGCGCAGAGACAGGACCACAGCAUUGGCUUCAUCCUAAAGCUGGUUUCCUAUCACAUCAACAGAGGGCCA
rnacentral:lncRNA from 1 species